rnacentral:piRNA from 1 species
CACGUGACUGCAGACUGUCACCUGCCA